rnacentral:rRNA from 1 species
UUAUCAAAAACAUGUCUUUUUGAAUUUAAUAUAAAGUCUAAUCUGCCCACUGAUUAUUAAUAUUAAAGGGCUGCAGUAUAUUGACUGUACAAAGGUAGCAUAAUCAUUAGUCAUUUAAUUGAUGACUUGUAUGAAAGAUUGGAUGAAAUAUAGACUGUCUCUUAAUUAAAUUAUAGAAUUUAAUUUUUUAAUUAAAAAGUUAAAAUAAAUUAAAAAGACGAGAAGACCCUAUAGAGUUUUAUAUUUAAAUUAGUUGAGAUUAUUUAUAUAAUUAUUAAUUAAAAUUAUUUUAAAUAUUUUGUUGGGGUGACAAAAAAAUAUAAAUAACUUUUUUUAUUAUUUAACAUAUAUAAGUGAAUGUAUGAUCCAAUAUUAUUGAUUAUAAGAAAAAAUUACCUUAGGGAUAACAGCGUAAUUUUUUUUUUUAGUUCAAAUAAGAAAAAGAGUUUGCGACCUCGAUGUUGGAUUAAGAUAAAAUUUAAAUG